GAUAAACGCUGACAGAAUGCUUAACACAUGCAAGUCGAUGAUGGGAGCUAGCUUGCUAGAAGAAGUCAUGGCGGACGGGUGAGUAACGUGUAAAGAACUUACCAUAUAGACUGGGAUAACAGAGGGAAACUUCUGAUAAUACUGGAUAAGUUAGUAGUAGCAUUACUAAGUAAUGAAAGGUAGCAAUACGCUAUAUGAGGGCUUUGCAUCCUAUUAGCUAGUUGGUGGGGUAAAAGCCUACCAAGGCGAUGAUAGGUAGCCGGCCUGAGAGGGUGGACAGCCACAAGGGGACUGAGAUACGGCCCUUACUCCUACGGGAGGCAGCAGUGGGGAAUAUUGGACAAUGGAGGCAACUCUGAUCCAGCAAUUCUGUGUGUGUGAAGAAGGUUUUAGGACUGUAAAACACUUUUAGUAGGGAAGAAAGAAAUGACGGUACCUACAGAAGAAGCGACGGCUAAAUACGUG
rnacentral:rRNA from 1 species